GUAGGUGGCAAGCGUUGUCCGGAAUUAUUGGGCGUAAAGCGCGCGCAGGCGGUUCUUUAAGUCUGAUGUGAAAGCCCACGGGCUCAACCGUGGAGGGUCAUUGGAAACUGGAGAACUUGAGUACAGAAGAGGAAAGCGGAAUUCCACGUGUAGCGGUGAAAUGCGUAGAGAUGUGGAGGAACACCAGCGGCGAAGGCGGCUUUCUGGUCUGUAACUGACGCUGAGGCGCGAAAGCGUGGGGAGCAAACAGGAUUAGAUACCCUGGUAGUCCACGCCGUAAACGAUGAGUGCUAAGUGUUAGGGGGUUUCCGCCCCUUAGUGCUGCAGCUAACGCAUUAAGCACUCCGCCGUGGGGAGUACGGCCGCAAGGCUG
rnacentral:rRNA from 1 species